rnacentral:rRNA from 1 species
GUUUGAUCCUGGCUCAGGAUGAACGCUAGCGGCAGGCUUAACACAUGCAAGUCGAGGGGCAGCGGGGAGUAGCAAUACUCCGCCGGCGACCGGCGCACGGGUGCGUAACGCGUAUGCAACCUACCUUUAACAGGGGCAUAACACUGAGAAAUUGGUACUAAUUCCCCAUAACAUUCGAGAAGGCAUCUUCUUGGGUUAAAAACUCCGGUGGUUAAAGAUGGGCAUGCGUUGUAUUAGCUAGUUGGUGAGGUAACGGCUCACCAAGGCAACGAUACAUAGGGGGACUGAGAGGUUAACCCCCCACAUUGGUACUGAGACACGGACCAAACUCCUACGGGAGGCAGCAGUGAGGAAUAUUGGUCAAUGGACGCAAGUCUGAACCAGCCAUGCCGCGUGCAGGAAGACGGCUCUAUGAGUUGUAAACUGCUUUUGUACUAGGGUAAACGCUUCUACGUGUAGGAGCCUGAAAGUAUAGUACGAAUAAGGAUCGGCUAACUCCGUGCCAGCAGCCGCGGUAAUACGGAGGAUCCAAGCGUUAUCCGGAUUUAUUGGGUUUAAAGGGUGCGUAGGCGGUUUGAUAAGUUAGAGGUGAAAUACCGGGGCUCAACUCCGGAACUGCCUCUAAUACUGUUGAACUAGAGAGUAGUUGCGGUAGGCGGAAUGUAUGGUGUAGCGGUGAAAUGCUUAGAGAUCAUACAGAACACCGAUUGCGAAGGCAGCUUACCAAACUAUAUCUGACGUUGAGGCACGAAAGCGUGGGGAGCAAACAGGAUUAGAUACCCUGGUAGUCCACGCAGUAAACGAUGAUAACUCGUUGUCGGCGAUACACAGUCGGUGACUAAGCGAAAGCGAUAAGUUAUCCACCUGGGGAGUACGUUCGCAAGAAUGA